rnacentral:tRNA from 2 species
GGGGGUCUGGUUUAGGGGUAUAACAUUCCUUUCGCAUAGGAAAGGUCUUGGGUUCGAUUCCCAAGUCCUCCA